rnacentral:sRNA from 1 species
CAAAUCGCUUAAUUUAUUUUGUAAAAUAAAGCGGGGGAACCAAUUUUUCAGGGGCGAAUUUUUCUUAAUGAGAAUAGGACAACUCAUUCAGUCCGAGUCCGUCAGCUAACCUCGUCAGCGUUGAUUGAGA